GUCAAAACGACUCUCGGCAACGGAUAUCUCGGCUCUCGCAUCGAUGAAGAACGUAGCGAAAUGCGAUACUUGGUGUGAAUUGCAGAAUCCCGUGAACCAUCGAGUCUUUGAACGCAAGUUGCGCCCGAAGCCUUCGGGCCGAGGGCACGCCUGCCUGGGCGUCACGCAUCGSGUUGCCC
rnacentral:rRNA from 1 species